rnacentral:rRNA from 1 species
UACAGAGGGGGCAAGCGUUAUUCGGAAUUAUUGGGCGUAAAGGGCGCGUAGGCGGCCUGGCAAGUGGAAGGUGAAAUCCCUCGGCUUAACCGAGGAACUGCCCUCCAAACUGCUUGGCUUGAGUCCGGGAGAGGUGAGUGGAAUUCCCAGUGUAGCGGUGAAAUGCGUAGAUAUUGGGAGGAACACCAGUGGCGAAGGCGGCUCACUGGACCGGAACUGACGCUGAGGCGCGAAAGCGUGGGAGCAACAGGAGUAGAUACCGAAGUACGUCCAGC